rnacentral:rRNA from 1 species
CCUACGGGUGGCUGCAGUGGGGAAUAUUGCACAAUGGGCGCAAGCCUGAUGCAGCCAUGCCGCGUGUGUGAAGAAGGCCUUCGGGUUGUAAAGCACUUUCAGCGGGGAGGAAGGCGUUAAGGUUAAUAACCUUGGCGAUUGACGUUACCCGCAGAAGAAGCACCGGCUAACUCCGUGCCAGCAGCCGCGGUAAUACGGAGGGUGCAAGCGUUAAUCGGAAUUACUGGGCGUAAAGCGCACGCAGGCGGUCUGUCAAGUCGGAUGUGAAAUCCUCGGGCUCAACCUGGGAACUGCAUUCGAAACUGGCAGGCUAGAGUCUUGUAGAGGGGGGUAGAAUUCCAGGUGUAGCGGUGAAAUGCGUAGAGAUCUGGAGGAAUACCGGUGGCGAAGGCGGCCCCCUGGACAAAGACUGACGCUCAGGUGCGAAAGCGUGGGGAGCAAACAGGAUUAGAUACCCCUGUAGUC